CGAACUCGACCUUCGGGUCAUAUGAGUGAGUGGCGAACGGGUGAGUAACACGUGAGAAACCUACCCCAAAGUUUGGAAUAACUCGAAGAAAUUCAAGCUAAUACCAGAUGCCCUCAACUAGUCGAAUGGUUAGAUGAGGAAAGAUUUAUCGCUUUGGGAGGGUCUCGCGGCCUAUCAGCUAGUUGGUGAGGUAAUGGCUCACCAAGGCAUCGACGGGUAACUAGUCUGAGAGGACGAAUAGUCACACUGGAACUGAGACACGGUCCAGACUCCUACGGGGAAGGCACCA
rnacentral:rRNA from 1 species